UACGAAGGGGGCUAGCGUUGUUCGGAAUUACUGGGCGUAAAGCGAACGUAGGCGGUGUUCCAUGUCAGAGGUGAAAGCCUGGGGCUCAACUCCAGAAUUGCCUUUGAAACGGGAACGCUUGAGUCCGAGAGAGGAUGGCGGAAUUCCUAGUGUAGAGGUGAAAUUCGUAGAUAUUAGGAAGAACACCGGUGGCGAAGGCGGCCAUCUGGCUCGGUACUGACGCUCAGGUUCGAAAGCGUGGGGAGCGAACAGG
rnacentral:rRNA from 1 species